GAUGAAGAACGUAGCGAAAUGCGAUAAGUAAUGUGAAUUGCAGAAUUCAGUGAAUCAUCGAAUCUUUGAACGCACAUUGCGCCCGCCAGCAUUCUGGCGGGCAUGCCUGUUCGCGCGUCAUUUCAACCCUCGAGCCCCCCCGGGGGCCUCGGUGUUGGGGGACGGCACACCAGCCGCCCCCGAAAUGCAGUGGCGACCCCGCCGCAGCCUCCCCUGCGUAGUAGCACACACCUCGCACCGGAGCGCGGAGGCGGUCACGCCGUAAAACGCCCAACUUUCUUAGAGUUGACCUCGGAUCAGGUAGGAAUACCCGCUGAACUUAAGCAUAUCAAUAAGCGGAGGA
rnacentral:misc_RNA from 1 species